rnacentral:rRNA from 1 species
AUACGUAGGGGGCAAGCGUUAUCCAGAUUUACUGGGUGUAAAGGGAGCGUAGGUGGCAUAGCAAGUCAGAUGUGAAAGCCCGGGGCUUAACCUCGGGACUGCAUUUGAAACUGCUAAGCUAGAGUACAGGAGAGGCAAGUGGAAUUCCUAGUGUAGCGGUGAAAUGCGUAGAUAUUAGGAGGAACACCAGUAGCGAAGGCGGCUUUCUGGACUGUAACUGACACUGAGGCACGAAAGCGUGGGGAGC